UAGGGAAUCUUCCACAAUGGACGCAAGUCUGAUGGAGCAACGCCGCGUGAGUGAAGAAGGUUUUCGGAUCGUAAAGCUCUGUUGUUGGUGAAGAAGGAUAGAGGCAGUAACUGGUCUUUAUUUGACGGUAAUCAACCAGAAAGUCACGGCUAACUACGUGCCAGCAGCCGCGGUAAUACGUAGGUGGCAAGCGUUGUCCGGAUUUAUUGGGCGUAAAGCGAGCGCAGGCGGAAUGAUAAGUCUGAUGUGAAAGCCCACGGCUCAACCGUGGAACUGCAUCGGAAACUGUCAUUCUUGAGUGCAGAAGAGGAGAGUGGAAUUCCAUGUGUAGCGGUGGAAUGCGUAGAUAUAUGGAAGAACACCAGUGGCGAAGGCGGCUCUCUGGUCUGCAAAUGACGCUGAGGCUCGAAAGCAUGGGUAGCGAACAGG
rnacentral:rRNA from 1 species